rnacentral:misc_RNA from 1 species
AAAGAACAAUCCGGAUAAACCAAUGUGCACGUAAUCCCUCUGACUGUGUGGUUGUGCUUUUUAACAAAGUUUACACUAUAUAUCCUAAAGCUACAAGGCCAAUGUCCUCUGCAAAGAUAGGUAAAGAGGAACUGCUGAGCAAGCUUGCUGAGUGGAAUAUAGUGACAGAGACAGUAGAGCAUCCACAGGUAUGACCAGGUAGAUACAGGUGAAAAGAGUCAGGUGACUAAAGGUUAUACUUGAACUAAUAUCAGGGUCUUAAAAGUCAGCUUUAUGCAAAUUGAAAAUUCAGGCUGUCCAAUAAAGGUUAAAUGUUGGGAAAUUUAAUUUCAAAAGAAUUUAUCUUGUGUGUGACCAUAUAAAAGAUCUUGGGAUUUUAUGAGAUGUUACAUUUGAAUUUUAUAAAUUUAGAAGCUGUAUAACUAAAGAACUAAAGAUAUCUUCUGUUAUCUACCAUCAAACUUUGGCUUUGGACGACUGAUGAUCAUAUAUAAUGGGGGAAAUGAAAUUGUACUAUUUGUUUAUUUAGAAAGGAAAUAAAUACAAAAUGGUAGAAAAGUUUAAGGGAAUUGACACACUUUGACUUUAUACACAUAGAAAAAAGGACACAUUGGCUUGAAAAAAAAAAUGAAAUGAUUCUGCUUUAAUUUUCAAUUUACAGGUAUCUACUGUUGAACAAGCUUUACCACACCUUGAAAACACAGAGGGUAAAUUUGCGAAAAACUUGUUUCUGAAAGACAAAAAAAAGAGACUCUAUCUUUUCUGUGCACCCCACGAUGCAGACAUUAAACUAAAUGACCUUGCCAAAUUGGUUGGGGCCACAGGAGGGUUAAGAUUUGCUGAUGCCAGCAUCUUAGAAGAGAAGCUCGGAAUCCAGGAAGGGUCUGUCUCUGUAUUUGGAAUUAUAAAUGACACUGAAAAUGAGGUUAAACUUGUCUUAGACCAACGCCUGCUUGAUGAGACAUACACCAAACUGGGAUUCCAUCCAAUGGUGAACAGUGCCACCACCAGUAUAUCGCCUUGUGAUCUAAAAAUUUUUAUUGACAAGACAAACCAUGAACCUCUCAUUGUGACCAUCAACUAAAUAAAUGUGUAAUAAAUGUUUUUAACUAAAUUACAUUUGUAAUUAAAAAAUGUCAUUGUCUUUACAGAUUUAAAAAAGAUGUAAAUACUUAGAUUUUUAUAAUUUUCACCAGUUGUUCAAUUAAAUAUUUAAUUACAUGU